AUGAACGCUAGCUACAGGCUUAACACAUGCAAGUCGAGGGGAAACGACAUCGAAAGCUUGCUUUUGAUGGGCGUCGACCGGCGCACGGGUGAGUAACGCGUAUCCAACCUGCCCACCACUUGGGGAUAACCUUGCGAAAGUAAGACUAAUACCCAAUGACGUCUCUAGAAGACAUCUGAAGGAGAUUAAAGAUUUAUCGGUGAUGGAUGGGGAUGCGUCUGAUUAGCUUGUUGGCGGGGUAACGGCCCACCAAGGCGACGAUCAGUAGGGGUUCUGAGAGGAAGGUCCCCCACAUUGGAACUGAGACACGGUCCAAACUCCUACGGGAGGCAGCAGUGAGGAAUAUUGGUCAAUGGGCGAGAGCCUGAACCAGCCAAGUAGCGUGCAGGAUGACGGCCCUAUGGGUUGUAAACUGCUUUUAUAAGGGAAUAAAGUGAGUCUCGUGAGACUUUUUGCAUGUACCUUAUGAAUAAGGACCGGCUAAUUCCGUGCCAGCAGCCGCGGUAAUACGGAAGGUCCGGGCGUUAUCCGGAUUUAUUGGGUUUAAAGGGAGCGUAGGCCGGAGAUUAAGCGUGUUGUGAAAUGUAGAUGCUCAACAUCUGCACUGCAGCGCGAACUGGUUUCCUUGAGUACGCACAAAGUGGGCGGAAUUCGUGGUGUAGCGGUGAAAUGCUUAGAUAUCACGAAGAACUCCGAUUGCGAAGGCAGCUCACUGGAGCGCAACUGACGCUGAAGCUCGAAAGUGCGGGUAUCGAACAGGAUUAGAUACCCUGGUAGUCCGCACGGUAAACGAUGGAUGCCCGCUGUUGGUCUGAAUAGGUCAGCGGCCAAGCGAAAGCAUUAAGCAUCCCACCUGGGGAGUACGCCGGCAACGGUGAAACUCAAAGGAAUUGACGGAAGG
rnacentral:rRNA from 1 species